rnacentral:rRNA from 1 species
GGCCUAACACAUGCAAGUCGAGCGGUAACAUUUCAAAAGCUUGCUUUUGAAGAUGACGAGCGGCGGACGGGUGAGUAAUGCCUAGGAAAUUGCCCUGAUGUGGGGGAUAACCAUUGGAAACGAUGGCUAAUACCGCAUGAUGCUCUACGGGCCAAAGAGGGGGACCUUCGGGCCUCUCGCGUCAGGAUAUGCCUAGGUGGGAUUAGCUAGUUGGUGAGGUAAUGGCUCACCAAGGCGACGAUCCCUAGCUGGUCUGAGAGGAUGAUCAGCCACACUGGAACUGAGACACGGUCCAGACUCCUACGGGAGGCAGCAGUGGGGAAUAUUGCACAAUGGGCGCAAGCCUGAUGCAGCCAUGCCGCGUGUAUGAAGAAGGCCUUCGGGUUGUAAAGUACUUUCAGUCGUGAGGAAGGUGGUGUUGUUAAUAGCAGCAUCAUUUGACGUUAGCGACAGAAGAAGCACCGGCUAACUCCGUGCCAGCAGCCGCGGUAAUACGGAGGGUGCGAGCGUUAAUCGGAAUUACUGGGCGUAAAGCGCAUGCAGGUGGUUCGUUAAGUCAGAUGUGAAAGCCCGGGGCUCAACCUCGGAACUGCAUUUGAAACUGGCGGACCUAGAGUACUGUAGAGG